rnacentral:misc_RNA from 1 species
GCGAGCCGGCUAGCUCUGAUAGGGGCUUGCUCGUUCGUUCGUUUAGUUCGCCGUAAGCGAUCGAUGGAUUAGUAGUGUUUGCAUUGACAGUAUUCUCCGAGAUCGUCGUUGAGUUGUUUCGUUACAACACAGAAGAUUAGUAAACAGCUGUCAAACCAAGUUCAUUGACAACGAAAACACUUGUGUGUGAUGGUACGACGAAGCACAGAGCACAUGGGGAAAGAACUGCGAAUUAUCGGCGAAGAAAGUAUGGAAAACGGCUACGUGUAUGUGUUUCCCGAAGUGGGAGCCAGUGAGAAUGGUCUCCCAGACGACGAUGCGAAUGCACAAGUCGCAGCGCAACCCACGCGAAAUCUGCCGAAUAUUUUGAGGAGCAGCAAUGCGAAGGCAUACAAGAAUUGCAAAACACUCAUACUGAACAAGAACGACAUCUCCUUCAUAUCCAACACGGAGGAUACAAAUAUGUCUUUCGAUUCAAAUACAACAUUAUCCAGAGCCGACUCGGACAAGAACAGCAAGUACAAUAAGGUCGCGUCGCCGAAGUCGCACCAUCAGAGGAAACAAGUGCACCAUCCUUUAGACACGCGGUACGAUGCACUGAACUGGAAUAAUAAGAAGAAAGUCAAAAAUGCACUGCAGACGAUUGGCAAAUUAGAAACGCUGUAUGCUUCACUAGGUCACAAGGGAGAUACCUCGACGAAGAAGAUAAACAAUAAACUCAGCGGUAAAGAGGAAAAAUGUAUGUUUAAAAAAUCAAGGGGAGCAGCGAGUCGCAAAUCCGAUAAUAGAAAGACAGCUAAGUUGUCAGGACUUGACACUGGAUCUACUAUUGUUCCAGGUGUUGUUGAUGCGACGGACCAGACAGCCGUGCAAAAUGUCACGAACGAUAAGUUUUUCGGCGACGAAGUAUUUACCGACAUCAUGGACGUUGAGACGAAAUUGGACGAUAUUUUAUAUCGCGAUAACAAUAUUUACAAUCCCGAGAAGAAGCGUAAUACGGUUUGUAACAGUGUCAUUUCUGGCAAAUCAACAGAGUGCAACACGAUGCAGCAGGAUGCAGCGUUUCGAAAGGAUCUAUUGAGUUACGAGUUUUCCGAGGAUAGAGAUAACUUGGAAGAUGAUUCGAUGAGCAAGAACACCAGAUCGAAUUUCUUAUUCGCGUCUGAAGUAUUGUGCACCUGUACUUGUGCGAAUUGUACGUCUUGUGACAAAGACUUCAUAUUGUGCGAGGAUUCAGUUCCGAGAGAUGUUAACAGCAACAUGGAGACGGAAUUCUUCACACCCUGCGCGUAUGAUUUGUAUACUAGCGAUUAUUAUCAUAUAUUCGCUGACAUAGACGAUUUCGAUAAAAAGAUUUUCCGCUACGAGGAAGCUGAGAACACGUGCGUCACGAAAGAGAGCGCGUGUGAUUGCAACAACAUUAGUAGCUGUGACACAACGAAGUUAACAGAGAACGACGCUAGUGCGCCAACACCUGUAAAGCAAAGCGACUUGGAAAUUUUUUACUCGGAAACCGAUACGAGAUUGCAAGAGAACCACGUGGAAACGCAUUCUGCAGAACCCAUCACGCACUCUGAUGACGAAUCAACGGGAUCUACGGGACAUAAAAAAGAUCUCGAUAAAACGGAACAUUUCGAGAAGAAUAUAGAAGGCAUUUCGUUGGAGAUAUGCAAAGCUUCUCAAGAUCAAAUUACUGCCUCAACCAAAGCUUUCGUUUCCAAAAACCGACCACACAGGAGUAAGAAAGAUUUAUAUGUUAUCCAGUGUACUCAGUGUAGUAGGCUGUUCAACGAGAACAAGUUUAGGAAACAUUUUACUCAUUGCAGUUUCGACAAGGAAGAUUUCAAAUGUCACAUUUGCCAAAAAAUAUACAGGUCACCAAAGUUUUCCGGCCAACUCUCGCCUCGAGGAUGAAGAUCGAAGACCGUGCGUCAUUCUUCUUUCAUCUUCGAGACGAGCGGAGCAUUUAGAGUUCCGGAGUUUAGCGAGAACUAUUUCAAGGACACUUCGUGUUACCUUAGUGAUUUCUAUCGGAACACACACACUACCAAGACGAUCUGGAAGCCUUGCAGUGCCAGAAUAACAGUGGUCAGCAGUAAUUGGAACAGGAUGAAGCUGUUGAAGGAUUUUUCCACGACGUUCAUGUAACUGAAACACCGCCGUUAAUAG